GACAGAGGGUGCAAACGUUGCUCGGAAUCACUGGGCGUAAAGGGCGUGUAGGCGGGAAGGAUAGUCAGAUGUGAAAUCCCCAGGCUCAACCUGGGAACUGCAUUUGAAACUCCCUUUCUUGAGUAUCGGAGAGGAAAGCGGAAUUCCUGGUGUAGAGGUGAAAUUCGUAGAUAUCAGGAGGAACACCAGUGGCGAAGGCGGCUUUCUGGACGGUUACUGACGCUGAGACGCGAAAGCGUGGGGAGCAAACAGG
rnacentral:rRNA from 1 species